CCUAAGAGAUACGUGUUAUGUGAAGUGCUCACACAGAUUGUCUGAUGAAGAACGAGCAAAAGCGCGUCUGCGAAGCUGACAGAAGUCCCCUUCGUCUAGAGGCCUAGGACACCGCCCUUUCACGGCGGUAACAGGGGUUCGAAUCCCCUAGGGGACGCCAAUGCGCGGUAUGAGUGAAAGGCGUACCACUUAUCUGACGAGAGUCAGAGAAUAACUAAGCUAAUUCAAAUGAGUUAUCUUACUUAUUAUGCUCUUUAGCAAUCUGGAACAAGCUGAAAAAUUGAAAACAAAUCAAUAUAUCACCGAGGUAUAUUGAUGAGUCUCUCAAAAUCUCAAACCUUAAAGUUUGUCACGCAAAGUUUAUCUUUGAAAGAGACACUUUCGGGUUGUGA
rnacentral:misc_RNA from 1 species